GCCGGAGGCGACCGCUAUUGGAGUUCGNNUNNNNNNUGCGAGUAGAAAGAAAUUAGAUUCUUUGCAUACUGCUCAGUAACACGUGGAUAACCUGCCCUACACUUUGAGAUAAUCUCGGGAAACUGAGCAUAAUACCAAAUGGACCACUACGCCUGGAACGGUGAGUGGUUGAAAGCUCCGGCGGUGUAGGAUGGGUCUGCGGCGUAUCAGGUCGUAGGGGGUGUAACGGACCUCCUAGCCAUCGACGCGUACGGGUUGUGGGAGCAAUAGCCCGGAGACGGAUUCUGAGACACGAAUCCGGACCCUACGGGGUGCAGCAGGCGCGAAAACUUCACACUGCAGGAAACUGUGAUGAGGGAACUCCAAGUGCAUGCACAAUGUGUAUGCUUUUCUUGAAUCUUAAUAGUUCUUGGAAUAAGGGCUGGGAAAGACCGGUGCCAGCCGCCGCGGUAAUACCGGCAGCUCAAGUGGUCGUCGUUCUUAUUGGGCCUAAAACGUCCGUAGCCUGUUUGGUAAAUCUAUGGGUAAAUCAACGAGCUUAACUCGUUGAAUUCUGCAGAGACUGCCAGACUAGGGACCGGGAGAGGUAUGAGGUACUCUGGGGGUAGGGGUAAAAUCCUGUCAUCCUCAG
rnacentral:rRNA from 1 species